rnacentral:rRNA from 1 species
GCGCAGCCUGAUCCAGCAAUGCCGCGUGAGUGAUGAAGGCCUUCGGGUUGUAAAGCUCUUUUACCCGGGAAGAUAAUGACAGUACCGGGAGAAUAAGCUCCGGCUAACUCCGUGCCUACAGCCGCGGUAAUACGAAGGGAGCUAGCGUUCUUCGGAAUUACUGGGCGUAAAGCGCACGUAAGCGGCUUUUUAAGUCAGAUGUGAAAGCCUGGAGCUCAACUCCAGAACUGCCUUUGAGACUGCAUCGCUAGAUUCCGGGAAAGGUGACUGAAAUUCCGAGUGUAGAGGUGAGAUUCAUUCAUAUUCGGAAGAACACCAGUGGCGAAAGCGGCUCACUGGACCGGUAUUGACGCUGAGGUGCGAAAGCGUGGGGAGCAUACAGGAUUAAAUACCCUGGUAGUCCACGCCGUAAACGAUGAUAACUACCUGUCCGGGCACUUGGUGCUUGGGUGGCGCAGCUAACUAGCUAACGCGGUAAGUUCACCGCCUGGUGAUNGGGUUGGACAGGUUGAAACUCAAAG